GCUGGGCAUGGUGGUGCACGCCUAUAGUCUCAACUACUCUGGAGGCUGGGACUGGAGGAUCGCUUGAGCCCAGGAGUUCUGGGUUGUAGUGCGCUAUGCUGGUCAGAUGUCCACAAGUUCGGCAUCAAUAUGGUGACCUCCUGGGAGCAGGGGACCACUAGGUUGCCUAAGGAGGGGUGAACCGGCCCAGGUAGGAAAUGGAACAGGUCAAAACUCUUGUGCUGAUCAGUAGCGGGAUAGUGCCUGUGAAUAGCCACUGAACCCUGGCCUGGGCCACACAGCAAGACCCUGUCACAA
ensembl:misc_RNA Metazoa_SRP Metazoan signal recognition particle RNA